GACAUAGGUGGCGAACGUUAUCCGGAAUUAUUGGGCCUAAAGCAUCCGUAGCCGGUUCUACAAGUCUUCCGUUAAAUCCAGCUGCUUAACAGACGGGCUGCGGAAGAUACUAUGGAGCUAGGAGGCGGGAGAGGCAAGCGGUACUCGAUGGGUAGGGGUAAAAUCCGUUGAUCCAUUGAAGACCACCAGUGGCGAAGGCGGCUUGCCAGAACGCGCUCGACGGUGAGGGAUGAAAGCUGGGGGAGCAAACCGG
rnacentral:rRNA from 1 species